rnacentral:piRNA from 1 species
UAUAAUAGUGGUUGUGGUUGCUGGG